rnacentral:rRNA from 1 species
CACGUAGUUGGCCGGUGCUUCUUCUAUAGGUACCGUCACUUGCGCUUCGUCCCUAUUGAAAGAGGUUUACAACCCCGAAGGCCGUCAUCCCUCACGCGGCGUCGCUGCAUCAGGCUUGCGCCCAUUGUGCAAUAUUCCCCACUGCUGCCUCCCGUAGGAGUCUGGGCCGUAUCUCAGUCCCAGUGUGGCCGGUCACCCUCUCAGGCCGGCUACCCGUCGUCGCCUUGGUAGGCCAUUACCCCACCAACAAGCUGAUAGGCCGCGGGCCCAUCCCACACCGCAAAAGCUUUCCACCACACACCAUGAAGCGCGUGGUCCUAUUCGGUAUUAGACCCAGUUUCCCAGGCUUAUCCCAAAGUGCAGGGCAGAUCACCCACGUGUUACUCACCCGUUCGCCACUCGAGUACCCCGAAGGGCCUUUCCGUUCGACUUGCAUGUGUUAAGCACGCCGCCAGCGUCGUCCUGAGCACGGAGUCAACUAC